UACAGAGGGUGCAAGCGUUAAUCGGAAUUACUGGGCGUAAAGCGUGCGCAGACGGUUGCGUAAGUCAGAUGUGAAAUCCCCGGGCUCAACCUGGGAACUGCAUUUGUGACUGCAUGGCUAGAGUACGGUAGAGGGGGAUGGAAUUCCGCGUGUAGCAGUGAAAUGCGUAGAUAUGCGGAGGAACACCGAUGGCGAAGGCAAUCCCCUGGACCUGUACUGACGCUCAUGCACGAAAGCGUGGGGAGCAAACAGG
rnacentral:rRNA from 1 species